GCGGGCGUGGUGGAAUUGGUAGACACGCCAGAUUUAGGUUCUGGUGGUUUAUACUGUGGGGGUUCGAGUCCCUCCGCCCGCACCA
rnacentral:tRNA from 1 species